rnacentral:rRNA from 1 species
GACGAACGCUGGCGGCGUGCUUAACACAUGCAAGUCGAACGGAAAGGCCCUGCUUUUGUGGGGUGCUCGAGUGGCGAACGGGUGAGUAACACGUGAGUAACCUGCCCUUGACUUUGGGAUAACUUCAGGAAACUGGGGCUAAUACCGGAUAGGAGCUCCUGCUGCAUGGUGGGGGUUGGAAAGUUUCGGCGGUUGGGGAUGGACUCGCGGCUUAUCAGCUUGUUGGUGGGGUAGUGGCUUACCAAGGCUUUGACGGGUAGCCGGCCUGAGUGGGUGACCGGCCACAUUGGGACUGGGAUACGGCCAAGACUCCUACGGGAGGCAGAAGUGGGGAAUAUUGCACAAUGGGCGGAAGCCUGAUGCAGCAACGCCGCGUGCGGGAUGACGGCCUUCGGGUUGUAACCCGUUUUCGCCUGUGACGAAGCGUGAGUGACGGUAAUGGGUAAAGAAGCACCGGCUAACUACGUG